rnacentral:tRNA from 1 species
AAAGGGAGACCUAAUUCAGGUAAAAGACGAAAAAAAAGUAGUCGCUACCAAGAAUCAAUCCCAAAAGGUCGGAGCGAGGCGAAAUUGGCUUUCAAACUAGGUUCUGGGUUCAAACAAGACCUGAAUCAGGAACAAGGGCUAUUAGCUCAGGUGGUUAGAGCGCACCCCUGAUAAGGGUGAGGUCCCUGGUUCGAGUCCAGGAUGGCCCACCUGCACAGGUGGCAAAAACAAGAGAAGCGAGGAAUCAGCACCUUAUCUUACUUAUAUAGUAAGAGAGAAUGCUGGCUCUAAGUAAAGAGUCCAGAGGAACCUUGAAAACUGCAUAGAGCUAGGUGAAAAAGCCAAAAAAGAAGACCGCAAG